UACAGAGGGUGCAAGCGUUGUUCGGAAUUAUUGGGCGUAAAGGGCGCGUAGGCGGCGCGGUAAGUCACCUGUGAAAUCUCCAAGCUUAACUUGGAGCCUGCAGGCGAAACUGCCGGGCUUGAGUAUGGGAGAGGUGAGUGGAAUUUCCGGUGUAGCGGUGAAAUGCGUAGAUAUCGGAAGGAACACCUGUGGCGAAAGCGGCUCACUGGACCAUAACUGACGCUGAGGCACGAAAGCUAGGGGAGCAAACAG
rnacentral:rRNA from 1 species